AAGCUCGUAGUUGAAUUUCGGGAUCAGACUGUCGGUCGUGCCUCGGUACGCACUGGCAUUAUUGGUUCCUACCUUCUGAAGAACCGCGAUGUCAUUAAUUUGGUGUCGCGGGGAAUCAGGACUGUUACUUUGAAAAAAUUAGAGUGUUUAAAGCAGGCUUACGCUUGAAUACAUUAGCAUGGAAUAAUGAAAUAGGACGUUUGAUUCUAUUUUGUUGGUUUCUAGGAUCGACGUAAUGAUUAAUAGGGAUAGUUGGG
rnacentral:rRNA from 1 species